GGCGAUCUAAGGCUUCCUGGACAAUGCUCUCGGAACCUGCAUCUAAGGCACUAGUCGCUUCAUCGAGGAGGAGGAUCUUGGGGUCCUUGAGCAUCGCUCUGGCAAUGGCUAUCCUUUGCUUCUGCCCACCAGAAAGUUGGACUCCCCGUUCUCCUACCUGAGUAUUGUAACCAUUGGGUAGCAAAGCGAUGAAGCUAUGAGCAUUUGCGACAGUUGCAGCAGCUUCAACCUCAGCUAUUGUGGCAUCAGGCUUUCCAUAUAGUAUGUUCUCAAGUAUCGUCGUUGCAAAAAGUGCAGGCUCUUGAUUCACUAGACCAAUUUGGUCUCUUAACCAUCUCAGUUGCAGUGUCU
rnacentral:misc_RNA from 1 species